UUACCCAUCAGUGAAGAAAGAAGCGGCAGCAGCUGUGUAGCAGGGGCCCCUGGGGACUAGUGUGAAUUCUUAGGCAAAGAUAAAGCUUGGCAGAGAAAAGGGAGUGGAAUUACCCAAAGCCUGUCUAGAAAAGGAAAAUAGCGUCUUCCAUUCAAGAAGCCCCACUCCCUGCCCCCAUCAGCCAGGAAUUUUCUGGGCUUGGUCAAAGGUCCCUUAAGUGGGAGGAAGCUGCUUCUCCUGCUCUGGGGGGUGGGGCCGCUGAGGCACCUUCCUGGUCUGCUCCUGUUUUUCCUCAGUGAUCCCUUCUCAGGCACCCAGGCCCAUGAUUUCUUGCUCCCCACCCCCGCUGCAAAGAAGACCCAGAAGGUAGGGAACAGAGAGUCAACACACAGCGUGAAGGAGCCAGGCUCCAGCAGUUCCUGGCUUGGGGACACUUGAAGGCCUCCUCUUCCAGAAGCUGCGGAGAGACCUGUCCAGUGGUGGCAAACGUGUCAGGACCUUGAAACACCGAGCAAGACCAUGAGAAGAAGUCCAAAGCUCAGUAUAUCUGACAAGUGCUGUCAUAAGAUAAGCCACCUGACCUGUGGAGGGGAGGUUUAUGCUCAAAGGUGGGACAGAAAUACAGCUCCCCGACACUUCCUGCAGACACGAGGGCCACCCAGAGAGAAAGAACAAAUCCUGGGAUGUCCUUCAGUGACAUCAGGCCUGACACAGACCCACCCCAUCUGCCCCAUCCUCAGUCCAGAUCCCGGGACAGGGCACCAGGAGGGAGGGCGAGGCCAUUUGAAGACGCUUGGUGUUAGGGCAGCAACACGGAGGGAGGUAGGGGGCUUUCCAGAAAAUAUUUCCUGAUUGGCUUCCGCCCAGCAGCUCCAGCCUCAAUCUCAUCCCUUUCCUUCCACACGGGAACACACACACUCACCCCUGCACACGUGUGUGUGCACACACACGCUCACACACACCGUAAGUGUCGGCCUACAGUCUCCUGCAGAAGCUAACUGCAUGAACUCCUGGAGACAUUAAGGAAGAAGGUGUGAGGAGCCCACUUUGCCCACCCUCUGCUUCCUAAGUGGGAGGGGGCUUCAGAGCUCAGGCCCCCACAAAGGUCAAUGUGGGGUGUGGGGCCAGUCUGCAGCAUGCAGGCCCGGAGGGUCCCCCUCAGCUCAGGGUGGGUGUCCCAUGGCUGAGUGGCAGUGGCCUCGGUGCCCCUAUCAGCAGUGACAGGGACAGGGCAGGUCCUCUCUCCCCCUCUGAAGACCCCUGUGCCUCUGCCUCAGCAUCCCCUGCUCUGCUGCUGCUGUCCCCUGUGGGCUGCCAGGGAGGGCCGGGGACUGGGACCCCCACAGGCCAGCUGCCAAAGCUCUUCAGAUCCUUUCUUCUCUGUCUCUCUCCACUGCACGCUCAGGGCACGGCUCAUCUCCUCUGCCGCUUCAGCCUCUGUAUUUGGAUAAUUCUCAGCCUGGAAGCUGACAAGUGUCUGUGCCUUGUUCCAAAGGCCUAGAAACAUUACUCACAAAGUCAGAGGACCAGCACCUCUCAAUUCAGAAACGCAAUUCCCAAUGCUCAAGUUAAAUGAAAGGGGAAAUUCUACUAACUUUGUCGGGGGGGGGUGGGGGGUAGGGUGGGGUGGGGAGCUUCUCUAACUUCAGUAAUUUGUGAACCUAUUAUCCUGACCCUUAUUUUAGAGCAUGAUACCACUUAAAAAUGCAUGGACAUAAAACUAGGUCUAAGCCUUUUAUUUUUACAGCUGUAUAUAACUAUAAUCCUAUUACAUAUGUCUAGGACCCAAUUCCUUAUUAGAAACUCUCGGGGCCAAAUGUGUUUCAGGGUUGAGCAUUUUUCAGAUUUUAGAAGUUACUAAACUGCAUAUGACGUACUACCUCCAGUACUUUCUGGAAGCUUUCUUUAAUCAAAACCAACCAACCAAAAUCAACAACAAAACUACAUGCACUUAUACCUCUGCAGCAAAACAUACAAAUAUUCACCUAAAUAGGCUAAACUGAGACUCUGAAUAGCCUCAGGCCACACCUACUCACAAGCCUAGGAGAAACCUUUUGGUUUUCAGAGCCUUUUGAAUUUCAUAAUUGCAAAUAAGGGAUUGUAGACCUGCAUAAAUUAAACACAACAUGACUACAAAUGGGGUUCACAACGUUAGCACAAUGUUAAUGACGGUGACAGAGGCCGGUGGCCUGCUGAAUUCCAUCGUGGGGGAGGCGGUGGGAGACGGUGGGGCUGGAAGAGGUGUUAAGUCCAUGUAGUCCCCAGGCCUGGGUUGGAAUCUGGCAUCUGUACUCACUGGCUGGGAUGUGUCUGGCAAGUUAACCUUCCUGCAUGGCAAUUUCUUCAUUUUUAAAAGGAAGACAAUACAGGGCGCCUGGGUGGCUCAGUCGGUUACGCGUCCAGCUUCGGCUCAGGUCAUAAUCUCGUGGAUCAUGUGUUUGAGCCCCCCAUUGGGCUCUGUGCUGACAAGAGCCAGGAGCCUGGUUCAGAUUCUGGGUCUCCCUCUCACUCUGCCCCUCACCCGCUAGCACUCUUUCUCUCCGCUCUUUCUCAAAAAUAAAAAAUAAAAUUAGAAAAAAAAUUUAAAAA